rnacentral:rRNA from 1 species
GACGAACGCUGGCGGCGUGCUUAACACAUGCAAGUCGAACGGAAAGGCCCUGCUUUUGUGGGGUGCUCGGGUGGCGAACGGGUGAGUAACACGUGAGUAACCUGCCCUUGACUUUGGGAUAACUUCAGGAAACUGGGGCUAAUACCGGAUAGGAGCUCCUGCUGCAUGGUGGGGGUUGGAAAGUUUCGGCGGUUGGGGAUGGACUCGCGGCUUAUCAGCUUGUUGGUGGGGUAGUGGCUUACCAAGGCUUUGACGGGUAGCCGGCCUGAGAGGGUGACCGGCCACAUUGGGACUGAGAUACGGCCCAGACUCCUACGGGAGGCAGCAGUGGGGAAUAUCGCACAAUGGGCGGAAGCCUGAUGCAGCAACGCCGCGUGCGGGAUGACGGCCUUCGGGUUGUAAACCGCUUUCGCCUGUGACGAAGCGUGAGUGACGGUAAUGGGUAAAGAAGCACCGGCUAACUACGUG